GUGAAUCCGCAGCUACAUCAGUCACACUGCUGUUUUUAUUCUUUGAACUUUUAGAGCAUAAAAUCCAUAUCAAUCUUAGUCAAUUUCAAUUGAGGCUUUUGGUCAGGGAAUUGAAAAUCAGGAUUUCUCCUGGUGUUCAUUUGUUCCUAAGCCUCCAACAGCCCCAAAACUGGGUGUCAUUCCUGAUGGAUUUUUAUUUAUUUAUUUUGAAAAUUUAUUUAUUUUGUGUAUUAUGACUGGGCAAACACAUCCACGAUGUGGCACAUGUAUAGAGAUCAGAGGACAAAUGUGCAGGCACCAGUUCUCUCCUUUGGCCACGUGGGUACUGAAAACGGAACUCACUGUGCUCAGGAAGUACCAGGUGCCUUUACCUGCCAAACUGUCUCACCAGCUGAGGUUCCUAUUUAUAUAUUCCAAACAUCCUAAUAAAUCUCAAAGCUUCUAGUCAUUGCAUGGGGGAAAGGAAGUGUUGUAUAUGAGUUGAUCUCCCAAACAUUUUACAAGCUAUUAAGACAAGACAUUUCCCCCUCACUACCAUCUAGCAGUCCUGGCAUUUACCUUGCCUUUUCAAUUACUCCAGGUUCAUAAUCAAAGCCUUAAGAUGAACCAAAUUCUCUUGAUGAAACCAAAACAUAGACAGUAAUAUUAUAUGACUAAUAAUUACUUGUUCCAACUAUUGGGAAGGCUGAAACAGGAGAAUUAUGAGUUCCAGGACAGUCUAGGUAACAUGGGCAAUAGAGUGAAAUGUUGCUUCAAAACUAAAUAAAAAAUAUGUUGGCAAAUUUCUAGGCCGACAUCCCAUCUCUUAAAACGAAGUAUAAAUAUUUAUCUAUUAUCUACCAUGUAGACUGUAGAUUCAAACACAAGUCCCCCAAAUGCUUAAGUUGGCAUCAUUCAUUAACCAUAACCUCAAUAAUCAUGAAGUAAAUAACUGACCAAGUAGAUAAAGAUUGAACUGUGUCCCAAGAGGCAGGGACCUGGGCUUCUGUGAACCGAGAAGAGAAGCAAAUUCCAAAGAGGAGGGACUACUCAAGCGAGCAUAGUGACUAGCUGACUGUCUCAGCACCAGGGCCAACACAAGACUGGCCAUGCCCUCUGCUCGCUUGAGGAAAUGCUUCUUCUGGACCAACUCUUAACCUCAUUUUUACUUUGGGACCACUGAAAGAUAAAACUGAGAAACUCAGAGAUGAUAAAAUGGAGGCCUGGGGAUUGAAUCUACGACUCUACACAUGCCAGGAGUUGAAGUUUGACCUUCUCCAAACUUCUUGAGAAGAAAAGGAAUUAGACCUUGAAGACUGGCCAGACACUAUUUCCUCUGUGACAUUUCUUUUCUAACCACUCCCAAAGAGAUUUAUCCUGAGUGUUUAGCUAUGUUAUUAUUUGUCUGUCAUCUCACCCACUCAACUCUGAGCAAUCAAAGCUGAGGAAGAUGUUUUGUUAUUUCUGCUCCACUAUUUACUUGGUUUGGUGUAUGUUUGGAGUUGCUACUCCCCGAAGACUUUCUUCAAUAAAGAAAUGAAAGUACAAUAAAGCAUUGGUAAAUGUUG